GAUGAACGCUCGCGGGAGGCCUAACACAUGCAAGCCGAGCGGUAGAGUUUCUUCGGAAACUUGAGAGCGGCGCACGGGUGCGUAACACGUGUGCAACCUACCUUUAUCUGGGGGAUAGCCUUUCGAAAGGAAGAUUAAUACCCCAUAAUAUAAUGAUUGGCAUCAAUUAUUAUUGAAAACUCCGGUGGAUAGAGAUGGGCACGCGCAAGAUUAGAUAGUUGGUGAGGUAACGGCUCACCAAGUCAAUGAUCUUUAGGGGUCCUGAGAGGGAGAUCCCCCACACUGGUACUGAGACACGGACCAGACUCCUACGGGAGGCAGCAGUGAGGAAUAUUGGACAAUGGGUGAGAGCCUGAUCCAGCCAUCCCGCGUGAAGGAGGACGGUCCUAUGGAUUGUAAACUUCUUUUGUACAGGGAUAAACCUACCCUCGUGAGGGUAGCUGAAGGUACUGUACGAAUAAGCACCGGCUAACUCCGUG
rnacentral:rRNA from 1 species